GAAAGUGAAAGACGAUCAGCAAAACCGAGUCAGUCUUGGUCGGGCUUUCAAUAUAUGGAGACAAUUACGGGAUUGUAAAUGAUUCAAAAACGUCCCAGAAUUGGCCCUCAAGUAUAUAACAUGUCUAUUUCAC